rnacentral:snRNA from 1 species
GGAUGUGAGAGUGAUCUGGCUGCGACAUCUGUCAGCACACUGAUCACCAAGGUUGAUUUGGCUGAUCUGACUGGCUAGGCGGGUGUCCCCUUCCUCCCUCACCACUUCAUGUGCGUCCUUCCAGAAUCUGCGCCCUCGGACAAAGAGGACGGCCUUCCUGAAAUAGAGAUGGACUGGGUCUUCUGGUAUAGGAAGGGUAUACAAGGAGUAGCUGAGUUCCCCUGCUAGAAUCUCCAAACAAGGUCUCAAGGUCCAUUUGUAGGAGAACGUAGAGUAGUCAAGCUUCCAAGACUCCAGACACACAC